GCCCCCGUAGCUCAGCUGGAUAGAGCAGGUGCCUUCUAAGCAUCAGGUCGCAGGUUCGAGUCCUGCCGGGGGUA
rnacentral:tRNA from 1 species